rnacentral:tRNA from 1 species
GCCUGGGUGACUCAGUCGGUUAAGCAUCUGACUUUGGCUCAGGUCAUGAUCUUGGAGUUCGUGGGUUCAAGCCCCGCAUCAGGCU